CAGUAGCCACGGUAAUACGUAGGUGGCAAGCGUUGUCCGGAAUUAUUGGGUGUAAAGGGCUCGCAGGCGGUUUCUUAAGUCUGAUGUGAAAGCCCCCGGCUCAACCGGGGAGGGUCAUUGGAAACUGGGAAACUUGAGUGCAGAAGAGGAGAGUGGAAUUCCACGUGUAGCGGUGAAAUGCGUAGAGAUGUGGAGGAACACCAGUGGCGAAGGCGACUCUCUGGUCUGUAACUGACGCUGAGGAGCGAAAGCGUGGGGAGCGAACAGGAUUAGAUACCCGCGUAGUCCCUGUCUCUUAUAC
rnacentral:rRNA from 1 species